UACGUAGGGUGCAAGCGUUGUCCGGAAUUAUUGGGCGUAAAGAGCUCGUAGGCGGUUUGUUGCGUCUGCUGUGAAAUCCCGAGGCUCAACCUCGGGUCUGCAGUCGAUACGAGCAAACUAGAGUGUUGCAGGGGAGACUGGAAUUCCUGGUGUAGCGGUGAAAUGCGCAGAUAUCUGGAGGAACACCGGUGGCGAAGGCGGCAUCCUGGACCGGUAUUGACGCUGAGGCGCGAAAGCCAGGGGAGCAAACGGG
rnacentral:rRNA from 1 species